UACGGAGGGUGCAAGCGUUGUUCGGAAUUACUGGGCGUAAAGCGCGCGCAGGCGGUUUGUUAAGUCAGAUGUGAAAGCCCAUGGCUCAACCAUGGACGUGCAUUUGAAACUGGCAAGCUUGAGUAGUGGAGGGGGUGGUGGAAUUCCCGGUGUAGAGGUGAAAUUCGUAGAUAUCGGGAGGAAUACCGGUGGCGAAGGCGACCACCUGGCCACAUACUGACGCUGAGGCGCGAAAGCGUGGGGAGCAAACAGGAUUAGAUACCCUGGUAGUCCACGCCGUAAACGAUGUCAACUAGGUGUUGGGACGGUUAAUCGUCUCAUUGCCGCAGCUAACGCAUUAAGUUGACCGCCUGGGGAGUACGGUCGCAAGAUUAAAACUCAAAGGAGUUGACGGGGGCCCGCACAAGCGGUGGAGCAUGUGGUUUAAUUC
rnacentral:rRNA from 1 species